rnacentral:rRNA from 1 species
UAGGGAAUCUUCCACAAUGGACGCAAGUCUGAUGGAGCAACGCCGCGUGAGUGAAGAAGGUUUUCGGACCGUAAAGCUCUGUUGUUGGUGAAGAAGGAUAGAGGUAGUAACUGGCCUUUAUUUGACGGUAAUCAACCAGAAAGUCACGGCUAACUACGUGCCAGCAGCCGCGGUAAUACGUAGGUGGCAAGCGUUGUCCGGAUUUAUUGGGCGUAAAGCGAGCGCAGGCGGAAGAAUAAGUCUGAUGUGAAAGCCCUCGGCUUAACCGAGGAAUUGCAUCGGAAACUGUUUUUCUUGAGUGCAGAAGAGGAGAGUAGAACUCCAUGUGUAGCGGUGGAAUGCGUAGAUAUAUGGAAGAAUACCAGUGGCGAAGGCGGCUCUCUGGUCUGCAACUGACGCUGAGGCUCGAAAGCAUGGGUAGCGAACAGGAUUAGAUACCCUGGUAGUCCAUGCCGUAAACAAUGAGUGCUAAGUGUUGGGAGGCUUCCGCCUCUCAGUGCUGCAGCUAACGCAUUAAGCACUCCGCCUGGGGGAGUACGACCGCAAGGUUGAAAC